rnacentral:misc_RNA from 1 species
GGAGAAUCACAUCAUAGCCCAUAGAAUUCCUUUAUUCAAAAGCGGUUGCGUCAAUGUUUCACUUUAGGAAAGCCAUAAAUUCCACGAGUGCAUAGGCUUUGGCACUUAAGUCUUCAUCCUACAAGUUAAGAAUAAGGUCGAAAACUUGGGAUGAUCAGUACUAAAGAGGGCAUUCACAUUCAAAUCCAACACUUCCCAGCAAGCCUUUAACACGAGCACAAGGGAACAAAACAUGCAUCAUGUCCUCUGGCUCCCCACACGUAAAGCAACCUCCCACCCCAUCUACUCCCUUAUGUCUCAACCUUUCAUUGGUA